rnacentral:rRNA from 1 species
GACGUAGGUGGCGAACGUUAUCCGGAAUUAUUGGGCGUAAAGGAUGCGUAGAUGGUGUAGUAAGUUAUCGGUGGUAAAUCGAGGCUCGACCUCGUGGAAGUCGGUAAUACUGCUAUGCUAGAGGAUAGGAGAGGUUAACGGAACUCCCUGUGGAGCGGUAAAAUGCGUAGAUAUAGGGAAGAACACCAAUAAGGCGAAGGCAGUUAACUAUUCUAUUCCUGACAUUGAGGCAUGAAAGCGUGGGGAGCAAAACGG